AUGUGUAUGUCCCAUGUGCACGCCUGGUGCCGGAAGAGUCCAAAGCAGCAGCAGAGCCCCUGGAACUGGAGCUAUGGAUGGUUGGUUGUGAGCUACCAUGCAGGGCAAGGGCAUACAGACAUGGGCAGGCAAGGAGGCAGGGAUCCUCUGAAGUUACACAGCCUAAGAAUACGACCAGCAGGGAUGUGUCCAUGAAAAUGUAAUCACCAGAAGUUACAGCUUGCUGCAUCCAGAAGAAAUAAGAUGAUGCUGACAUUUAAAAGAUUUCUCCCACCGAGGAAACACCUGCUCUGUCCAGCACCAUUUGAAGUUCUGUACCAGCAAGCGCUUCCUCCAGAGAAGGGAGGUGCAGCUAGCUUGGUUGAAGGUAAGGAUCAAAGAAUUUUAAUUAAACACCAGCUUCCUAAGUCUGAUGAUGAGCAUCACAAGUUGA
rnacentral:lncRNA from 1 species